AUUGAACGCUGGCGGCAUGCCUUACACAUGCAAGUCGAACGGUAACAGGUCUUCGGUUGCUGACGAGUGGCGAACGGGUGCGUAAUACAUCGGAACGUGCCCGAUCGUGGGGGAUAACGGAGCGAAAGCUUUGCUAAUACCGCAUACGAUCUACGGAUGAAAGCAGGGGACCGCAAGGCCUUGCGCGGACGGAGCGGCCGAUGGCAGAUUAGGUAGUUGGUGGGAUAAAAGCUUACCAAGCCGACGAUCUGUAGCUGGUCUGAGAGGACGACCAGCCACACUGGGACUGAGACACGGCCCAGACUCCUACGGGAGGCAGCAGUGGGGAAUUUUGGACAAUGGGCGAAAGCCUGAUCCAGCCAUGCCGCGUGCAGGAUGAAGGCCUUCGGGUUGUAAACUGCUUUUGUACGGAACGAAAAGACUCUUUCUAAUAAAGAGGGUCCAUGACGGUACCGUAAGAAUAAGCACCGGCUAACUACGUG
rnacentral:rRNA from 1 species